AUUGUAAAUAUUACAGCUUGGCAUGCUAAUAAACUUGACAUACUUGUUUAACUCUAUCUGUAUUAAUGUUAAGGCAGUCUAGUAGUGGUAUAAGACAACUAGAUGUAGGUUGGAUCCAACUUUGUUUCAAUUUGUUGUUGUCUCCAUAUCUACUGGACCGUAAGUGGUGUAAGUAAAACAGCAUCCAUUGAAAUGAAUCGUUCACUGAUGUUUG
rnacentral:misc_RNA from 1 species